rnacentral:rRNA from 1 species
GAUGAACGCUAGCUACAGGCUUAACACAUGCAAGUCGAGGGGCAGCAUGAACUUAGCUUGCUAAGUUUGAUGGCGACCGGCGCACGGGUGAGUAACACGUAUCCAACCUGCCGAUGACUCGGGGAUAGCCUUUCGAAAGAAAGAUUAAUACCCGAUGGCAUAAUUCUUCCGCAUGGUAGAACUAUUAAAGAAUUCCGGUCAUCGAUGGGGAUGCGUUCCAUUAGGUUGUUGGCGGGGUAACGGCCCACCAAGCCUUCGAUGGAUAGGGGUUCUGAGAGGAAGGUCCCCCACAUUGGAACUGAGACACGGUCCAAACUCCUACGGGAGGCAGCAGUGAGGAAUAUUGGUCAAUGGACGAGAGUCUGAACCAGCCAAGUAGCGUGAAGGAUGACUGCCCUAUGGGUUGUAAAACUUCUUUUAUACGGGAAUAAAGUGAGGCACGUGUGCCUUUUUGUAUGUACCGUAUGAAUAAGGAUCGGCUAACUCCGUG